rnacentral:rRNA from 1 species
CAAAUCAGGUAGGACUACCCGC